rnacentral:rRNA from 1 species
CCUACGGGCGGCAGCAGUGGGGAAUAUUGGACAAUGGGGGGAACCCUGAUCCAGCCAUGCCGCGUGUGUGAAGAAGGCCCUCGGGUUGUAAAGCACUUUCAGUGAGGAAGAACGCCUGGUGGUUAAUACCCAUCAGGAAAGACAUCACUCACAGAAGAAGCACCGGCUAACUCCGUGCCAGCAGCCGCGGUAAUACGGAGGGUGCGAGCGUUAAUCGGAAUUACUGGGCGUAAAGCGCGCGUAGGUGGCUUGAUAAGCCGGUUGUGAAAGCCCCGGGCUCAACCUGGGAACGGCAUCCGGAACUGUCAAGCUAGAGUGCAGGAGAGGAAGGUAGAAUUCCCGGUGUAGCGGUGAAAUGCGUAGAGAUCGGGAGGAAUACCAGUGGCGAAGGCGGCCUUCUGGACUGACACUGACACUGAGGUGCGAAAGCGUGGGUAGCAAACAGGAUUAGAUACCCCAGUAGGC